CUAACCCAAACCCUAACCCUAGUGUCUGUGAGAUCCUACACAAUCUACCAAACGAUCAUUGUACAGAAAUAAGCAUGGACCGAACACGUAUCGAUUCACAACAUCUGUGGUGCUCAAGGUCCUUGACUAGGGUUCCUGACUUAUCUGCUUUGCAUGUUGAUUCGUGGGAGAGGAGUAGAUGAAGCAUACGUUCCAGAACUGGAGCUACCAGUUUGGCCAAGUUUUCUGCUCUUCGUCCAACAAGCUGGAUUUCCAUCUACUUGCAUUCAUCACAUAUUUUUAUUUAUUUAUUUAUUUAUUUUUGCAGAGCUAGUUUGUUUCACCUACUCGCAUCUAC